UAACUACGUGCCAGCAGCCGCGGUAAUACGUAGGUGGCAAGCGUUAUCCGGAUUUAUUGGGCGUAAAGCGAGCGCAGGCGGUCUUUUAAGUCUAAUGUGAAAGCUUUCGGCUCAACCGAAGAAGUGCAUUGGAAACUGGGAGACUUGAGUGCAGAAGAGGACAGUGGAACUCCAUGUGUAGCGGUGAAAUGCGUAGAUAUAUGGAAGAACACCAGUGGCGAAGGCGGCUGUCUGGUCUGCAACUGACGCUGAGGCUCGAAAGCAUGGGUAGCGAACAGGAUUAGAUACCCUGGUAGUCCAUGCCGUAAACGAUGAUUACUAAGUGUUGGAGGGUUUCCGCCCUUCAGUGCUGCAGCUAACGCAUUAAGUAAUCCGCCUGGGGAGUACGACCGCAAGGUUGAAACUCAAAAGAAUUGACGGGGGCCCGCACAAGCGGUGGAGCAUGUGGUUUAAUUCGAAGCUACGCGAAGAACCUUACCAGGUCUUGACAUCUUCUGACAGUCUAAGAGAUUAGAGGUUCCCUUCGGGGACAGAAUGACAGGUGGUGCAUGGUUGUCGUCAGCUCGUGUCGUGAGAUGUUGGGUUAAGUCCCGCAACGAGCGCAACCCUUAUUACUAGUUGCCAGCAUUAAGUUGGGCACUCUAGUGAGACUGCCGGUGACAAACCGGAGGAAGGUGGGGACGACGUCAAAUCAUCAUGCCCCUUAUGACCUGGGCUACACACGUGCUACAAUGGAUGGUACAACGAGUCGCGAAACCGCGAGGUUAAGCUAAUCUCUUAAAACCAUUCUCAGUUCGGACUGUAGGCUGCAACUCGCCUACACGAAGUCGGAAUCGCUAGUAAUCGCGGAUCAGCAUGCCGCGGUGAAUACGUUCCCGGGCCUUGUACACACCGCCCGUCACACCAUGAGAGUUUGUAACACCCAAAGCCGGUGGGGUAACCUUUUAGGAGCUAGCCGUCUAAGGUGGGACAGAUGAUUAGGGGAAGUCGAACAAGUGCCCUCCCCUUUUCC
rnacentral:rRNA from 1 species